GUAAGUAUAGUUUAAUUAAAAUAUUAGAUUGUGAUUCUAAAGACAGGUGUUAAAAUCCCCUUACUUACC
rnacentral:tRNA from 1 species